rnacentral:rRNA from 1 species
AAAUUGAAGAGUUUGAUCAUGGCUCAGAUUGAACGCUGGCGGCAGGCCUAACACAUGCAAGUCGAACGGUAGCACAGAGAGCUUGCUCUCGGGUGACGAGUGGCGGACGGGUGAGUAAUGUCUGGGAAACUGCCUGAUGGAGGGGGAUAACUACUGGAAACGGUGGCUAAUACCGCAUAACGUCGAAAGACCAAAGAGGGGGACCUUCGGGCCUCUUGCCAUCAGAUGUGCCCAGAUGGGAUUAGCUUGUUGGUGAGGUAACGGCUCACCAAGGCGACGAUCCCUAGCUGGUCUGAGAGGAUGACCAGCCACACUGGAACUGAGACACGGUCCAGACUCCUACGGGAGGCAGCAGUGGGGAAUAUUGCACAAUGGGCGCAAGCCUGAUGCAGCCAUGCCGCGUGUAUGAAGAAGGCCUUCGGGUUGUAAAGUACUUUCAGCGGGGAGGAAGGUGUUGUGGUUAAUAACCACAGCAAUUGACGUUACCCGCAGAAGAAGCACCGGCUAACUCCGUGCCAGCAGCCGCGGUAAUACGGAGGGUGCAAGCGUUAAUCGGAAUUACUGGGCGUAAAGCGCACGCAGGCGGUCUGUCAAGUCGGAUGUGAAAUCCCCGGGCUCAACCUGGGAACUGCAUUCGAAACUGGCAGGCUUGAGUCUUGUAGAGGGGGGUAGAAUUCCAGGUGUAGCGGUGAAAUGCGUAGAGA